rnacentral:rRNA from 1 species
AUGGUUGGUAAUAUCUGUAAACCCCAAUCUAUUACCAUCCUCUCGUGGUUCCAGACAACAUGGAGGGGGGACAUCUCAGUGCGGCUCUUCCCCGAUAGCAACGGCGGCUGCGGCGUGCACGUACAGGCAGACCGCGCCCCGCGGCUGGGGCGAGCUCGUGCGCAGGUCGCCGGCGGGGCAUGCGGUGUACUGCCCGUGGGGGACGCCGUAUUUUUGGUACACCCCGUCGACCUCCUCGUUACAAUUGGCAGCCUCCUCCACGGUGUCGAAGCUGCCGAGCCACCUCUCGGCUUCCGCACUGGAGAUCCUCGCCCCGAACUUGCCACUAGCUGUUGGCACACGCCGCGGAACUUGGUCCGGGCUUCGACGUGGCCGGACGGUGCGACCGAGACGACACCACCAUCAUCAGCCGCGGGCUGGCUAAAGUCCGAUGACGGCGUCGUCUCAGUCGCACCGUCUAGCCAUGUCGACGCCCGGACCAAGUUAUGCGGCGUGUGCCGGCAAACUAGCGGCAAGUUUGGGGCGAGGAUCUCCAGGGCGAAAGCCGAGAGGUGGCUCGGCACCUUCGCACCGCGGAGGAGGCUCAUCGAUGCAGUCAUGGCAUAUGUCGCCGGGAUGGGAAAUCUUCUUGCCACACUGGAUGGCCUUGAAUCGGGCAGACGCGACGACAGAGGGCUUGAAUGGGGCGACAGAAAAGCGAUUGAUUCAUCUGAUUUGGAGGAGGGCAACACGACAGUGGAGAGGAGAUGGUGGCGCCGGUUGUCACCCGCGCCUCCCUCCCAUGCUUCCACUACCAGCCAAGAGGUGGGAAACCACCAUCAUGGUGGUUUUCCACCUCCUCGCCGGCCUCGUUCUCGUGGAGGCGGACGCAGCGGAGAUGCCAUCUCAUGGAGUGUUGCGUCGUCCACACACUGCCGCAGUCCAGCUCGGACGAGGAGGACGAUGGCCGCAGGCAUGGCAGAAGGCACCCAUGAGAUUCCUGGAGGCCUAAGAGCCGCAGGAAGUGGGACUUGGUCGAAGAUGGAUGGGCGAUGUUUCCUUCAAGAAAAGCUCACUGAUUGCUCCGAGGCGGCGGGGCAUCUGGGACCAAUAGAGAAUGGAGAUCCUCGCCCCAAACUUGCCGCUAGUUUGCCUUGCCUCCCUGCGACGGCUCCGCCACUCAGGCCGCCUGGAUGCGCCAUUCUGCCCACGGUCGCGUCUUUGCCACCCCCCGUCCCCGUGCAGAGGGGCAGCGUGCGGCCGUUCGUUUGGUCAAGAAGACGAGGUUGCACGUAUAAGGUGGGCAAUUAUGGGUUGUCUGGCAAGGAGACGGGCAUGUAUCAACGGGCGCGGCGUGCCGCCGCACGGACUCCGCUAUAUGUGAUGCAUAGCGGAAAGAGGUCGUCCAGCAGUCACACGCUGGAGGCCGGGAUGCGCGUCCCGCUGCACGGUUUCUUCUCUGACGUUCUCGCCCACUUCGGCAUCACUCCUACCCAGCUCGCACCGGAUGGGUGGCGCAUCAUGGCGGGCUUCCUCGCCCUCUGCCACUCCGACGGCAUGCCGCCGGACAGAACGCGGCAGGAGGAGGCUCUCCCGCGCGGGGACGGUGCGGCGUGGGCAGGAUAUGGUUGCUGGAGUGGUCGCCGGCAGUGGGGCUGCCCGACGGCGGCGAGAGGCGGCGGAGUUCAGCCUUUCUUGGCCCAUAUCACUGUGCGCUGGGAGAUAAGAAGGCACGGCACUCUGGUAGAGGAGCCGGUUCCAGCUCCUAGCAGCCAGGCGGGGGCGGCGACCACCACGGCGAGUCGGCGACCGGCGGCUACGCAGGUGCGUUCCUCCCCCCUUCCCCUCUCUUCCCCACCCCUUCUCCCGUCGCUCCCUAGCCUUCUUCCCCAUCUGUGCUCACAUGGAUCGGUCACCCUGUGCCACGCCCCUCUAGUCGGCGGUUGCUCAGGACCGGCACUCCCCGCCGUCCUACCAGCACGCGGUGCUCCGCCCUCCUUAGCCACGCGCCACCGCCUCACUUUGCUACGCCCUCCGUUCUCCACGAUGGCCAUAGGAGUUGCUGCUCCUUUUCUGCACAAACUACAGAUCCACCAUGGGUCCAUGGCCAUACGAAGGGCAAAGGGACGGCCUUCCCAAGCACGUAGUGCUGUAGCUCAAACCCCGGCACUGCUGGCGCCUACAUCCGCCGUUGACCCGGUCUUCGCACGCCAUGGAAGAAGUGGAUUGGAAGUAGAAAAAGGAGGAGGAGGAUGUGGACUGCAGUGGAGAAGGAUGGGAUCGAGGAGGCAGGGGGCUUGGCUUGCAUCGCUCGCAGGCGGCAGCCGCCGCGCCGCUGCUGUGUACAGAGAAGCGGGGGACGCAAGAUUAGGGUUGAGAGGCUUCGGUAGAGCUGUUUAUACCAUCUGCGAGCGUACCUGGACUAUGGGCUGGGCCGGAAAUUCAAAAUGGGCCGAAACCACAACUGCUCCACCAUGGGUCCAUGAUUACGGAAGUUUUGUCGAUCUGCUGGCUGAUUCUAGAUAA